AUACGCAUGUUGCAGGAGUGAGACAGGGACCACGUUUGUGUCUUACGCCUCCAUGUACCCUGGUCACUUUAAUAAUGUUUACAUAAUGUUUUACCCACUUUAACUGUAUGUAGUGUAUUCUAGCCAUGGCCCAUCCUAUACAGCUGAUCGUCCUCGCAGUGGCAGACCACAUGUAACAACACCUGCACAGGAUCGGUACAUCUGAACAUCACACCUGUGGGACAGGCAUAACGCAUCAAACUAACGGAGGUAUUUGGAUAUAAAAAAUAUCUUUAUGGACCAAAAGGAACAUUUGCUGUCUAACUGGGAGUCUCGUGAGUGAAAACAUCCAAAGCUCAUCUAAGGGGUUGGCUAUCCGUCCUCACCUCAGACCCAAACACACUGGCCCAUCCUGCUCGGAAGUCUCUCCACCCUGUCUGUCUCCUUCCAUUCCGGAACUACAACACCCCCACAUUAGCCAUACCUUAGAGGGCAGGAUGACAGACAUGUGUCAACAUGGUAGACGUGACAGGAGCAUCACACAGAUUAUGCACGUAUAGAUUUGUAUAGAAGUACAUACAUGCCUGGACACACACUCGUAUAAUAAAUACCUACACACUCUUGAAUGGACAGACACAAUCGUAUAUGUAUAUACUUACUGUGCACUAUGCAGACACACUUCACAAGAAUGGGAGAGGAUAAUACAGUACAUCCUUUCAUAGACCAUAGUGUUGUUAUUGAUGCAGUAUGUGUCAUGAUUAACAUGAUAAAAGAGAACAGAUUCUGAUUUUUUUUUUGAAGUCACCUGAAUAUUAUACAUUCAGCAAGUCAUACCCAGAAGGAAAUUAUGUCGCCAAUCAACCUUUUUCCCGAUUCAAAUCUCCUCAUUCUGCUAGACAAUUUUCCUUAUAACUCAACACAAUCUGGUUAUAAAAAAAAGUUGAUGUCAACAAUCCACUGUCACAGUUUCACUGCCAAAUGAUACAAAUACAUAGGUGAUAUAAGCGCAUGAUUUCUUUACAUUAUUACGUUUCCGGCGCAGAUCACUUUUCUGAGGUGACUCAUAUUUGCCAUCUACUGUGCUCUGCAUUGAAAUAGUCUGAUGAUGACUAAUUCAGUAUAUGAGGUUAAUGAUUACUGUGUAUGGCCUUGAGAGAGAGUGAAUCACUCUUGUUGUUUAACUUGGAGAUUGGAGGGAUUUCUGACAGUGCCUCAUCACCCCCCCCCCUCCCAAUGGGGCAGGUGUUCUGGACUACCCUGACUCUAGCAGACAGAUAGAUAGCCUCUCCUCAGGGUGUGUGUAGGAACUACAGAGGCAAGCCACUGACCAUACACCACUACACACAACACAUCACACACAACAACCCAGGGUGGUCCUCUCAUCACUGGGAAAACAUUUUUAGAGAAAUUAGCCUGUCAAGCAGACUGAUUGCUUCACUGUUUUUGUGGUCAUAAACAACUGCUGCUACUACUACUUUUCAAUAGUAGACUCUUAGUGACAUGUUUGUUUUUCAUGUGUCUAAGGCUUGAGGUCUGUGUUGCAUGCUUCCAUAUGAUUUUGUGAAACAGAAACAUUGUUUGUGAAGCACAAAAAAGCAUACAAGAUACAGUCAAAAACAAGAUGCUGUAAACAGUCGAACAAGAUGUUGUAAACAGUUCAACUUUUGGAGUAACAUCAUUUGAGUCAUAAGAGUGGAUACUUUACACAAACUAUUUUUCAGCUUAGUGUGAAUGUGAGGCUGUGAGCCUCCACAAUGUACUGUUAUUUCUCUAUUGCGGUUUCAUAUUUUACUUGACUGAGGA